CAGCCGCCACGGUAAUACGUAGGUCCCGAGCGUUGUCCGGAUUUAUUGGGCGUAAAGGGAGCGCAGGCGGUUUAGUAAGUCUGAAGUUAAAGGCAUUGGCUCAACCAAUGUAUGCUUUGGAAACUGUUAGACUAGAGUGCAGAAGGGGAGAGUGGAAUUCCAUGUGUGGCGGUGAAAUGCGUAGAUAUAUGGAGGAACACCGGUGGCGAAAGCGGCUCUCUGGUCUGUCACUGACGCUGAGGCUCGAAAGCGUGGGUAGCGAACAGGAUUAGAUACCCCCGUAGUCCCUGUCUCUUAUACA
rnacentral:rRNA from 1 species